AUUUUCUCUGUCACUACGUUCUGAGUUCAAAUUCCGCCGAGGAGGACUUUGCCUUUCAUCUUUUUGGGGUGGAUUAAAUAAAUACCAGUUACGCUCUGGGGUCAAUGUAAUCGACUUAAUCCCUUUCCCCAAAUAUGAGGCCCUGUGCUUCCAGUGGAA